rnacentral:tRNA from 1 species
CAUUAGAUGGCUGAAAGCAAGCACUGGUCUCUUAAACCAUUCUAUAGUAAAAUAGCACUUACUUCUAAUGA